CCCGCGGGUCCGGGGAGCGAUGGUUGAAAAGGGCACUGGAGGGAGCCCGCCUUGGCAGCUGCCCCAGCCGCGACAGGAGAAGAACAACCACAGGAUGAAUAGUAUGGAGACAGUGAAGAUAUGCUUACCUGAAUUUCUCAGCCAUUUCUUGUGGGAGACCAAGAGAAGUUCAAUUAUGAAAUGUGGAAAACAGAAAUAGAUGUCUGCAAGGAGAUCUGCGGGACUCCCAAAAACAAUGCCUUUAGCACAUUUAAAUGACUGCUUGGACUGUUGUGAUUCUAUACCCAAGUUUAUGUUUUAAGCACAUUGUAUUUCUACCCCCCGUUUUACCCUAUUUUCCAAUUAUCAUAAAAAUCCCCAUUGUUCUGUAUUCCCUGUUAUUCCCCUUUUUCCUUAUUGGCUGUUCAGUGCUGCAUUGCAGUCUUUCCUUAAAUGGCUAACCUGUUGUUUCCAUUUGCUAACCUGUUGUCUAUCUCCCCGUCAAUCUUACCAUCCGAGGAGAUGAGGCUGCCUAGGUAAUUGAUGAUUAUUCCUUUCCAUUUAUGGUUAUGUCCAACCCCUACUUUCCUAAUAUGUAUCCUAUUAGCAUGCUCCUCCCUAGCUCCACCUACCCUUCCAGCACCUUCCAUCCUUCCCUUAUAUAA